rnacentral:rRNA from 1 species
UACGGGGGGGGCAAGCGUUGUUCGGAAUUACUGGGCGUAAAGGGCGCGUAGGCGGCCCGUCAAGUCCCGUGUGAAAGCCCCCGGCUCAACCGGGGAACUGCACGGGAAACUAGCAGGCUUGAAUUCGGGAGAGGGAUGCGGAAUUCCAGGUGUAGCGGUGAAAUGCGUAGAUAUCUGGAGAAACACCGGUGGCGAAGGCGGCAUCCUGGACCGAUAUUGACGCUGAGGCGCGAAAGCUAGGGGAGCAAACGGG